UGUCACUUUGCCUUCGCACAAGGAAACA
rnacentral:sRNA from 1 species